CCACUCUCAGGAUCACACCUGGAGAGUUUCCAGUACUCUGCCAGUCUCGGCUACGGGAGGGAGAGUCAGGCAGAGGCCUACCCUUUCCAUUCCGAGCUCGGGCAGUGGCUAGCGAGCGGAAGGCAAUCUGCUACAAGG
rnacentral:snoRNA from 1 species